rnacentral:lncRNA from 1 species
CAGGAACACAGAUUGGACUUUCUGGAAUAAAGCCACUUGGAAAUAUUGGCCUGGCACCUUGUUUACAGAGAUUCCAGCAAUCUUACCUGCAUAAAUUAUGAACCUUCUUCCUCUGCCACUGGAGAUACAGAGAUAAAUGGCACUGUUUCUGCCUCCAAGAUCUAACAAUCUAAUGGGACGAUGUUCACCAGAAAAGCUAACUGUAAGCUAGGGGAUGAGGACCAUUCUGCAGUUUGGAGACUGAGUGCUAGGACAUGACUGAUGCAUUAUUUAGGUGUGCUCACAGAGAGUAUGUUGAAGAUACAUACAAGAUGCUUUGCAUUCGUAUACUUCCUUGAGUGACAACCGUGAA